GUGGGGAAUAUUGGGCAAUGGGCGAAAGCCUGACCCAGCAACGCCGCGUGAAGGAAGAAGGUCUUCGGAUUGUAAACUUUUGUCUUAUGGGACGAUAAUGACGGUACCAUAGGAGGAAGCCACGACUAACUACGUGCCAGCAGUCGCGGUAAUACGUAGGUGGCAAGCGUUAUCCGGAAUUAUUGGGUGUAAAGGGUGCGUAGGCGGGAUGUAAAGUCAGAUGUGAAAUUCAGGAGCUCAACUUCUGAACUGCAUUUGAAACUUACGUUCUUGAGUGAAGUAGAGGCAAGCGGAAUUCCCAGUGUAGCGGUGAAAUGCGUAGAUAUUGGGAGGAACACCAGUGGCGAAGGCGGCUUGCUGGGCUUAAACUGACGCUGAAGCACGAAAGUGUGGGGAGCAAACAGGA
rnacentral:rRNA from 1 species